GGCAAUCCCGCAGGGUUCCGUUGUGCUGUGUGGAAGCUUUGUUUUUUCGCUCUUUGGGUCCACACGGCCUUUAUGAGCUGUAACACCGCGAAGGUAUGUGGCUUCACUCCUGAAGCCAGUGAGACCACGAGCCCACCGGGAGGCAGGAACAACUCCAGACGCGCUGCCUUAAGACCUGUAACACGGUGAGGGUCUGCAGCUUCACUCCUGAGCCAGCGAGACCACGAACCCACCAGAAGGAAGAAACUGAACACAUCCAAACAUCAGAAGGAACAAACUCCAGACGUGCCACCUUAAGAGCUGUAGCACUCACCGUGAGGGUCCGCGGUUUCAUUCUUGAAGUCAGUGAGACCAAGAACCCAUCAAUUCCGGACACACUAGGAAGAAGGAAAGAAAUUGAAAAACUAUCCACACGAAAAAUCACUGUCAUAGGAAACAAAAAUCAGGGAAUUCUUUCAGAUCUUGUCAAAGACAACCAUGGAGAUACUUCUACAAGUCUGCAAGAGCCACAGUGUCAUUGGUCUUGGGGUGUCCCCUAAUGCAGGUAUGGCUGAGUGACCAAAGACUUAGAUCAAAACAUCCAAGUUUCACUGACUACCUGGAAGGCCAUCCCAAGAAGGACUAGUACAAAAAAGCUCACAAUGUGAAAACUACAAUAAAUACAUAAUUCUUCAAUGCCUGAACACUGACGAACAUGCACAAGCAUCAAGACCAUCCAGGAAAAUAUGACCACACAAAAUGAACUAAAUAAGACACCAGGAACCAAUUCUAGAGAAAGAGAUAUGCGACCUUUCACACAGAGAAUUCGAAACAGCUAUUUUGAGAAAACUCAACAAAAUUGAAAAUAACAGAGAAAAAAGUUUCAGAAUCCUAUCAGUUAAAAUUUAAAAAGAAAUUUGAAAUAAUAAAAAAGAAUCAAGCAGAAAUUCUAUAGCUGAAAAAUGCAAUUGACAUACUAAAGAUUGCAUCAAAGUGUCUUAACAGCAGACUUGAUUAAGCAGAAGAAAGAAUUAGUGAGCUUGAAGACAGGCAAUUUAAACGCACAGUCAGAGAAGACAAAAGAAUAAAAAAGAAUGAAGCAUGCCUACCAGAAGUAGAAAAUAGCCUAAAAAGGGCAAAUCUGAGUUGUUGGCAUAAAGACAAGGUAGAGAGAGAGAGAGAGUGAUCAGAGUAGGAAGUUUAUUUAAAGAAGUAAUCACACAAAACUUCCCAAACCUAGAGAAAACAUCAAUAGUAAAGUAAAAGAAGGUUAUAAAAUACUGAGCAGAUAUAACUCAAAUAAGACUACCUAAAGACAUUUAAUAAUCAAACUCCUGAUCAUCAAGGAUGAAGAAAUGAUCCCAAAAGCAGCAAGAGAAAAGAAGCAACAUACAAAAGAGCUCCAAUAUGUCUGGAAGCAGACUUCUCAGUGGAAACCUUACAGGUCACGAGAGAGUGUCAUGACAUGCUUAAAGGGAUAAAAGUAAAAAAACCCUUUUAUCCCAGAAUAGUAUAUCCAACAAAAAUACCCUUCAAACAUGAAGGAGAAAUACUUCCCUAGACAAACAAAAGCUGAGGGAUUUCAUCAAUACCAGACAUGUACUACAAGAAAUGCUAAAGACAGCUUUUCAUUCUAAAAGGAAAAGAUGUUAAUGAGGAAAUCAUCUGAAAGUACAAAACUCAUAGAUAAUAGUAAGUACACAGAAAAAUACAGAAUAUUAUAACCCUGUCACUGUGGUGUGUAAAUUACUCAUCUCUUGAGUAGAAAGACUAAAAGAUGAACCCAUAAAAAAUAAUAACUGCAGCAAAUGUACAAGACCUAGACAGUAAAAUAAUCUAUUAAUAGAAAUAGAAAUAAGAGAAAGUUAACAACUGGGAAGACAAAGUUCAGGUGUAAUAUUUUCAUUAGGUUUUUUUUUUUUUGCUUGUUAGUUUGUUUAGGCAAUCAGUGUUAAGUUGUCAGUUUAAAAUAAGAUAUGAAUGGAGACCUCAUGGUAACCGCAAAUUAAAAAAAAUACAAAGAAAAAUGUACACAAUAAAGAAAACACAAGAAAUUAAAGCAUACCAUGAAAGAAAAUCAACAUCACUAAAAAGAAGACAGGAAAGAGAGAAGGAAGAUAAGACCACAAAACAAGCAGAAAACAAAUAACAAAAUGGCAGGAGUAAGUGCUUACUUAAUAAUAGUAAAUGUAAAUGUACUGAACUCUACAAUUAAAAGACUUAGAGUGAUUGAAUGGAUUAAAAAAGAAGACUAAAUGUUUUGUUGCCUACAAGAAACACCCUUCAACUGUAAAGACACAAAUAGACUGUAAAUGAAGUGAAAAAAAUACAUUUCAUGCUAAUGGAAAUGAAAAAGUAGCAGAAAUAGCUGUGCCUGUAUCAGACAGAAUAGAUUUCAAGAUAAAGACCAUAAACAGAGACAAAAAAAGUUAUUUUAUGAUGAUAAAAGGGGUCAUUCCAGCAAGAAGAUAUAAAAAUUAGAAAUACAUAUGCACCCAGCACUAGAGGACCCAGAUAUAUGAAGCAAGUAUUACUACAGAAAAGAGAGAAACAGACUUUAAUAAAAUAAUAGCUGUAGACUUCAGCACUUCACUUUCACUGUUGGACAGAAAAUCAUCAAAUAAAUGUCAAACAUUAUCUGCGCUAUAGAACAAACAGACCUAAUAAAUAUUUACAGAAUAUUUUAUACAACAGCUGCAGAAUACACGUUCUUCUCAGCACAUGAAUUAUUCUCAAGGAUAGACCAUAUGUAGGUCACAAAGCAAGGUUAAAUAAUUCAAGAAAGUUGAAAACAUAUCAAGUAACUUCUUGUACCGCACUGGAAUAAAAUUAGAAAUUAGUAACAAAGAAUUUUGGAAAUUAUGCAAACAUGGAUAUUAAUCAUUAUGUUCUUGAAUGACCAGUGAGUCAAUGAAAAAAGUAAGAAUAAAAUUUAAAUUCUUCUUGAUAGUAUGAAAAUAGAAACACAACAUAUCAAAAUUUACAGGAUACAGCAAAAGCACAACUAAGAGCGAAGUUUCCAGCUAUAAGUGCCUCCAAUUUAAAAAGUAUAUAAACUUCAAAUAAACAACCUAACAAUGCAUUUUAAAGAAUUAGAAAAGCAAGAGCACACAGAACCCAAAAUUAGUAGAGAGAAAAAAUAAUAAAGAGUAGAACAGAAAUAAAUGAAAUUGAAAUGAAGAAAACAACCCAAAAGAUCAACAAAAUGAAAAGUUGGCUUUUUGAAAAGAUAAAAUCGACAAAUUGUUAGUCAAACUAAGAAAAAAUAGAGAAGUCCCAAAUAAAUAAAAUCAGCAAUGAAAAAGAGACAUUAAAACUGCUGCUUCAGAAAUUCAAGGGAUUGUUAGAGGCUGUUAUGGGCAGCUAUAUGCCAAUAAAUUGGAAAACCUAAAAGAAAUGGAUAAAUGCCUAGACACAUAUUACCUACCAAGAUUAAACCAUGAAGAAAUCCAAAACCUUAACAGACCAAUAACAAGUAACAAAAUGGAAGCCAUAAUAACAAAUCUCCCAGCAAAUAAAAGCCUGGGGCCCUAUGGCUUCACUGCUGAAUUUUAAGAAACAUUUAACGAAGAUACAAUACCAAUUCUACUCAAACUAAUCUGAAAAAUAGAAGAGGAGGGAGUACUUUCAAAUUCAUUCUACAAGGUCAGUAUUACUCUGAUACCAAAACUUAGCAAAGACACAUCAAAAAAGAAAACUAUUUCACAUUGCAGUAUCCCUGAUAAACUCUGAUGCAAAAAUCCUGAAGCUAGUACUAGCAAGCUGAAUUCACCAAUACACUGAAAAAAUCACUUAUUAUGGCCAAGUGAGAUUUUUCCCAGAGAGGCAAGGAUUCAACAAAUGCAAAUUAAUCAAUGUAAUAUAUCAAAAGAUUGAAGGACAAACAGCCCAUGAGCAUUUCAAUUGACUGUGAAAAACCAUUUUAUAAAAUCCAGCAUUGCUUCAUGAUUAAAACCCUCAAAAAAUGGGUAUACAAGGAUCAUGCCUCAACAUAUACAAAAAGAAGCCACAUAGGACAGACAAUGAAUGGGGAAAAACUGAAAGCUUUUCCUCUAAGAUCUGGAAACUGACAAGAAUGCCGACUUUUACCACUUUUAUUCAACAUAGCACUGGCAGUCUUCCCUGGAGUAAUCGACAACAGAAAGAAAUAAAAACCUUCCAAAUUGGAAAGGAAUAAAUCAAAUUAUUCUUGUUUGCCGAUGAUAUCAUCAUAUUUGAAAAAACAAAAACACUUCACCAGAAAACCGUUAGAACUGAUAAAUUCAGUGAAGUAACAAAAUCAACAUGUAAGAAUCAGAAGUCUUUCUAUAUGCCAACAGCAAAUAAUCUGAAAAAGAAAUCAAGAAAGUAAUCCCAUUUACAAUAGAUAAAAUAAAAUAUGCAUGAAUGAACUUAAUCAAAGAAGUGAAAGACUCUACUUUGAGGAAAAAAUUUACAA